GAUGAACGCUAGCGGCAGGCCUAACACAUGCAAGUCGAGGGGCAUCACGAGGUAGCAAUACUUUGGUGGCGACCGGCGCACGGGUGCGUAACGCGUAUGUAACCUACCUAUAACAGGGGCAUAACACUGAGAAAUUAGUACUAAUUCCCCAUAAUAUUCGGAGAGGCAUCUCUCCGGGUUGAAAACUCCGGUGGUUAUAGAUGGACAUGCGUUGUAUUAGCUAGUUGGUGAGGUAACGGCUCACCAAGGCAACGAUACAUAGGGGGACUGAGAGGUUAACCCCCCACACUGGUACUGAGACACGGACCAGACUCCUACGGGAGGCAGCAGUGAGGAAUAUUGGUCAAUGGACGCAAGUCUGAACCAGCCAUGCCGCGUGCAGGAAGACGGCUCUAUGAGUUGUAAACUGCUUUUGUACGAGGGUAAACUCACCUACGUGUAGGUGACUGAAAGUAUCGUACGAAUAAGGAUCGGCUAACUU
rnacentral:rRNA from 1 species